CCUACGGGGGGCUGCAGUGAGGAAUAUUGGUCAAUGGGCGUAAGCCUGAACCAGCCAUCCCGCGUGAAGGAAGAAGGCGCUAUGCGUCGUAAACUUCUUUUCCAGAGGAAGAAAACCCCCGACGAGUCGGGGCUUGCCGGUACUUUGGGAAUAAGCAUCGGCUAACUCCGUGCCAGCAGCCGCGGUAAUACGGAGGAUGCGAGCGUUAUCCGGAUUUAUUGGGUCUAAGGGGUACUGAGGCGUCAGGAUUGAAAACCUUCAGCUUAACUGGAGAAUUGCCGGUGAUACUGUUAGUCUUGAGUACGGUCAAGGUAGGCGGAAUGUGUAAUGUAGCGGUGAAAUGCUUAGAUAUUACACAGAACACCGAUUGCGAAGGCAGCUUACUGGACCAAUACUGACGCUGAGGCACGAAAGCGUGGGGAGCGAACAGGAUUAGAUACCCGUGUAGUC
rnacentral:rRNA from 1 species